rnacentral:rRNA from 1 species
GGGGGGGGGGGGGGGGGGGGGGGGGAGGGGCGGGGCGAGCGGGGGGGGGGGGGUUGGUCCUUGAUUCAGCGGCGGACGGGUGAGUAAGGCCUAGGAAUCUGCCUGGUAGUGGGGGACAACGUUUCGAAAGGAACGCUAAUACCGCAUACGUCCUACGGGAGAAAGCAGGGGACCUUCGGGCCUGGCGCUAUCAGAUGAGCCUAGGUCGGAUUAGCUUGUUGGUGAGGUAAUGGCUCACCAAGGCGACGAUCCGUAACUGGUCUGAGAGGAUGAUCAGUCACACUGGAACUGAGACACGGUCCAGACUCCUACGGGAGGCAGCAGUGGGGAAUAUUGGACAAUGGGCGAAAGCCUGAUCCAGCCAUGCCGCGUGUGUGAAGAAGGUCUUCGGAUUGUAAAGCACUUUAAGUUGGGAGGAAGGGUUGUAGAUUAAUACUCUGCAAUUUUGACGUUACCGACAGAAUAAGCACCGGCUAACUCUGUG